GUUGUAAUGCCAGAGGCAAUGUUUAUAAUCACGAAACCCUGAAGCCCAGGCUGUUCCGCUCCAAACCUGCUCCUACUUUCCCAUCUGACCCUUCGAAACAGCCAGACUGUCAUGAAAUGGAACAUAUUUGCAUUCAGUGACAGGUUCCUAGCAUCACAUAUUCUCUGGGCUAGGUCAACUUAGGAUCCCGUCAUACAGGGGGAGUAUGCUUUACAGUUCAGCAGUUUAAGUUCCUGUGUGAACCUAAGGAGCAGCCUGACUUCAAGGCCCUGGCUAAUGCCAGCUGCCCAGGCAAAGGAAUUCACCAACAAAAAAGCGAGAUGGCCAACUCAGGAAUGCUGACCAUGAGAAUCCAUAUCAGGACCAGCAAGGAUCGUAGCUGCAUGCCCACAGCCCCUCCCUUUGAUCUCUUUGUUCUGCUUUCCCUCUCCUUCUUUAUAAAAUCCUCUGCCUGCACUGAGAUGUUAAGGUGUGCUUUGGGACAAGAGUCCUCCUUCUUCUUUGG